GCUCACUCAGUUUCUCCUACUACUGCUUCCACUUCCUUAGUCGACGCAGGAUAUUCGAACGAAAGCGUUGAUUGGUCAUGGUAGAGAGAGGGGAGGUCUAUACUACUUGGACUUACCACCAGAUUGUGAGAAGACAAGUUACAGUUGUCAAGUGGAAGCUAAACAAUUUGAAGCUUCU